GAUGAACGCUGGCGGCGUGCCUAAUACAUGCAAGUCGAGCGAACGGACGAGAAGCUUGCUUUUCUGAUGUUAGCGGCGGACGGGUGAGUAACACGUGGAUAACCUACCUAUAAGACUGGGAUAACUUCGGGAAACCGGAGCUAAUACCGGAUAAUAUUUUGAACCGCAUGGUUCAAAAGUGAAAGACGGUCUUGCUGUCACUUAUAGAUGGAUCCGCGCUGCAUUAGCUAGUUGGUAAGGUAACGGCUUACCAAGGCAACGAUGCAUAGCCGACCUGAGAGGGUGAUCGGCCACACUGGAACUGAGACACGGUCCAGACUCCUACGGGAGGCAGCAGUAGGGAAUCUUCCGCAAUGGGCGAAAGCCUGACGGAGCAACGCCGCGUGAGUGAUGAAGGUCUUCGGAUCGUAAAACUCUGUUAUUAGGGAAGAACAUAUGUGUAAGUAACUGUGCACAUCUUGACGGUACCUAAUCAGAAAGCCACGGCUAGCUACGU
rnacentral:rRNA from 1 species